CCCAAUCAUCACGCUUAUGAACUACAAAAGGAUCAGCGUGGGAACGCUGUUAAGGAGCCCCAGGUCGUGAAAUGACGGGGCGUUACGGCAGUAUUGGCGGAAGCUGGCCUUGUGCUUUACGGCAGCAAUGUUAGCUGGGUCCGGAUCCUGCUAGUCACGGGCGUUCUGUGGGCAAGCCUGCAGGUACCUGUCCCUUGUGCUCGUGUCAUGGCUCAGGGGUUUAUUUCUUAAACUUUUAUUUUUUUUUCUUUUGAGACUUCAGAAAGGCUGUAGUAAUUUCUCCACUUCACUGUUACAAGCCUGAGACCCUGUUACCGGAGAGGUCCCUUUCCCUUUUCGGGGGUCCCUUCCCUUACACGCACUUUAUUGUUAUCCCGGUGAGACUCCCCGCUUCUCCAAGACGGCUCGCCGUUUCAUUUAAUUUGAUUUUAGUUGUUUAUGUUCUCUGGGAGAAGUCCAGCCUCCGGUGAUCUCUCUUUAGCGGGAUCACCUUUCCCUCUCUCCCUUCCUCCUCCCUCGUCCUCUGGGGGAGACCAGCCUUGGGUGCUGCCGCCUGAGGAAUGGAGCUUGACAGCGCGCGGGAGACCCGGCCGCGGGGGGGCUCUUCCUUGCCUGGAGACUGGUCUCCCUCCGCCCUUGGACAGGCCUUCUCGAAGGUUUUGCACCGUCUUACCGGCCAAGAGGCACGACUGGGCAAAGCAAGAGAUGCAGCUCUUAAAGACCUCGGCGCUCUAAUAGAAGACACAGAGUGUGAUAGAUUAUUUGAGGGGAGCGGCGCACCGCUCCGCGGAAUGCCGGAGAUACUAGGGCAGGUGGCAAAGGCUCUGGAGAAGUACGCAGCCCCACCUAAGGAGGAGGACAGUAGAGGUGAGGGUCACAAUCAAGUGGCCGAGAGGGCCACAGAAGUUGGGUUACUGUUUCUUAAGCUGUUGGGGAAAGUUGAGGCUUCCAAGAAUUCUCUGGUCUGCCCUGAAUGGAAGACGAGUCUCCGCCACUUGGCAGGACCCAUCUACAUUUUUGCCAUCACACACAGCUUGGAGCAACCGUGGACCAGCCCAAGAUCUCGGGAAGUUGCUAGAGAGGUCCUCACGUUACUGCUUCAAGUUACUGAAUGCGGUUCCGUGGCAGGAUUCCUACGCGGAGAAAAUGAAGAUGAGAAAGGGAGAUUUACUAUGAUAAUGGGACUUCUCAAACCCGAUUUGAAUAAGGAAUCCUGGAAGAAUAAUCCUGCCAUCAAACAUGUUUUCUCAUGGACUCUGCAACAGGUCACUCGACCCUGGCUGAACCAACAUCUGGAAAGGAUACUUCCCCCUUCAUUGCUUAUCUCAGAUGAUUAUCAAACUGAGAACAAAAUCCUGGGUGUACACUGCCUGCAUCACAUUGUGCUUAAUGUGCCAGCUGCUGAUUUGCUGCAGUAUAACAGAGCCCAGGUUCUAUACCAUGCCAUUUUCAACCACCUGUAUACACCGGAGCACCACCUCAUUCAGGUCGUGCUCCUGUGUCUGCUGGAUUUAUUCCCUGUCCUGGAGAAAGCCCAGCAGUGGAAGGGGGAUGGAGCUCGACCUACCACACACUGUGACGAGGUGCUGCAGCUGAUCCUGACCCACAUGGAGCCAGAGCACCGCCUUCUCUUACGCAGGACCUAUGCAAGACACCUACCGGCUUUCGUGAAGAGGUUGGGGAUCCUAACUGUCCGGCACAUGAAGAGGCUGGAGCGAGUGAUCACUGGUUAUCUGGAGAUCUAUGAUGGACCGGAGGAGGAGGCUAGAUUGAAGAUACUGGAAACUCUAAAACUUCUCAUGCAGCAUACUUGGCCCAGAAUUUCCUGCAGACUUGUGGUCUUAUUGAAGGCUCUCUUGAAACUGAUAUGUGACGUAGCAAGGGAUCAAAACCUUACCCCAGAGUCUGUUAAAAGUGCCUUGCUACGGGAGGCCACAGACUGCCUGAUUCUCCUGGACCACUGCUCCCAAGGACAGGUGAAGGGUCUCCUGGCCAACAUUCCCCAUAGCUGUGACGACAGCAAGGUGGUGAACUGUAUCAGAAAAGUGCAACAGGUUUCUGAAGGCGCUCCCUUCGAUGGAACUUAAGAUUUGUAUGACUUUCCCAAGAGGAAAGGAUUUUUCUUCUAUCUGAUUGUAUGAAUGGAGUUACUUCUGGAAAAAGCAUCUGAAGAGUCACUUUCUGUCUCCUGUUGUUCCAGGGCCUUGUCAAAGGCAUGGAUGGGGAAGUUGUAGAUGUCGCCAUACUGAAGAACAUAAACACAGAUUGGCUUUAACUACAUUUGGAUAUGACACUUGAAGUCCCACUGUCUGGCAAGCAUAUUCUUUUCUCUUCAAUGAUUAAAUGAGAAUACCUGAGUUGAGGGCUAAUAUUUCUAUGCUAUUUUCAAGCCUAGAGCCAGCAGUAUCCAAAAAACUCAUUGACAUUUAAAUAAUCAGUGGUUACUAUCAAAUAGGAAACGUCUAUGGAGGGUGGGACCAGAUCAUUUAAACUUUAGUAGUCUAUAAAACCUAUGCACGGGGACAAAUGUAAUUUUGCUGACAAGGGGAAAUAGUAAGGAAAAGGAUAUUUUAAUCAUGUCUGUAUAAAUGACACUAAUUUUAAGAAAGAUAAAAACUCAUUUUAAACUUAAAAGACUAUAUAAGGGAUACAAAACCCUGUGGCUUUUAUACAGAGAUCUGGAAUUGUUGCAUUUGGGAAUAGGAAUUAGGAAAAAUGGCAAAAAGGGAGAGGUCUCUUAUAGUGAAUGCAGUAUCAAGGGGAACCAAAGCAUUUUAUGUGCUGUAUCAAUGAACUAAAAUGAGGAAGCCAGACCUAUAUGGAUUUAUUUUAUUCCAGGGAUAAAAUCAUAGUUGGGAUCUCCCUAGCAUCUUAAAAAAUAAAAUACAUUUCCCAAUAUUUCCUAGCAUGAUACUACCACCUAAAGAAUAAAAUUUGUACCCGAAAACUA